rnacentral:rRNA from 1 species
AAGCGUGCGCAGGCGGUUAUGUAAGGACAGAUGUGAAAUCCCCGGGCUCAACCUGGGAACUGCAUUUGUGACUGCAUGGCUAGAGUACGGUAGAGGGGGAUGGAAUUCCGCGUGUAGCAGUGAAAUGCGUAGAUAUGCGGAGGAACACCGAUGGCGAAGGCAAUCCCCUGGGCCUGCACUGACGCUCAUGCACGAAAGCGUGGGGAGCAAACAGGAUUAGAUACCCUUGU